rnacentral:misc_RNA from 1 species
AAUGUCGUAACAAGGGUUUUCCGUAGGUGAACCUGCGGAAGGAUCAUUUACAAAGUAAAAUGCUGGUAGGAAGUGGGGGUUCUUGAUCUGUGAGUGGUAGAGCGGACAGUCCGGCUGCCUCCCGGAAAACUGUCUUACAUGUCCCCCAACAGCCUGAAGGCCGAAUUUACAACCCUUGACUAUCUACACUUGUUGCUUUGGGGGCUGCUCAAGUGCCCCAAGAGGACCCAACUCUCUUGCAUUUAAGUGACGCUGAGUACUAUAUAAUAUUUAAAAU